rnacentral:rRNA from 1 species
CGGCGGACGGGUGAGUAAUGUCUGGGAAACUGCCCGAUGGAGGGGGAUAACUACUGGAAACGGUAGCUAAUACCGCAUAACGUCGCAGGACCAAAGAGGGGGACCUUAGGGCCUCUUGCCAUCGGAUGUGCCCAGAUGGGAUUAGCUAGUAGGUGGGGUAACGGCUCACCUAGGCGACGAUCCCUAGCUGGUCUGAGAGGAUGACCAGCCACACUGGAACUGAGACACGGUCCAG